AUGCANAUCAAAUGUGGUAAUGCAUAUUUAGGAAUAGGUGAAGUUAUGCUUGAUUUCUGUAUUACUUGGUUUGAACUAGUCCAUGUUGGUGAAGUAAUGUUUGACUUCUGUAUUACUUGGUUUGAACUGGUGCAUAAUUUCAUAAAAUAGGAGAGCACAGAUUUCUGUAUUUUGUUUUACUUCAAUUAUUAAGAUAUUCAUGACUAUCUAUAUGGAUAUCAACCGUCCAUUGGCUUUGGUCAUUAGAACCUUACUUUCUUUGAUUCUUAUAUUAUGAUAAUGUAACACCCUUUUACACCAGUCAUACCAAUCACUUCUUAUUACGGUACAUUACCUUUUUUUGUUCAGUUACCAUCAGUUAAUUUUAAAGUUGGAAAACUUUUUACAGUACAUUAGCUCUUAUCAUUUGUAAAGUUCACUCACAAUAGUGAUUAUUAGUCUAUGUUGCUCGUGUGAUGAUAUGAAUGUCGUUAAUAUUAUAAUACUGUACGAACUCUUAUGAAUAAGAAGAUGAUAAACAUUAGUAAAAAAUAUGAAAACAAGAGUAGGUCCUCUCUCGAAAUUAACUUGAUGGUGAACAAAUUUGCAUCAAUGAACAAAAAUAAGAAACUCAGCCUCUUAUUUGGUUAGUAUAUCUUUUUCGCUUUCUUGGGUUAUCUCUCUGUCUAAAGGUUAACAAUAAGGACAGAAAUGUGAAUUUGAUGAAGAUAUGCAGUCGAUAGCAAGCUAUUUCAAGAUUUUGGGAGAAGUGACAGGAGAAUAAAGGAAGGAGCUUAAAACAUACUGGCGGUAUAAAAAGAUUUACACAAUCGGGUCACUUGUAAAUAAUUACAACAAGAUUGUAUGAUAAUUAUUAACAGGUGAUCUGCUAAAAAUGGUUGUAUUUGCUAUCACAGCUUAAACUGAUAACGUAUAAAAUGUUUUACACUAGAAUAUAGUUAAUUCCAUCCAUUUUCUGUUUCCUACAAUACUUAUAUUAUCUUUCUGAUUUUUGUUGUUGUCAUAGAUUCUAUUGUCUAUUUUCGUCUUGAGCCGAGGGUUUCUCGGAAACAACCUCUCUAUCUUUCCGGGAUAGGGGUAAGAUAAAAAAUUUGAAGUAUGAGGAUGUCAUUGAAGAAAGUACAAAGCAAGUUGAUGCAUAUUAGAUCGUAUAGUUCUCUUGGCAGUUGUGUAGGGAUGUUGUCAUUUUACAUAUGUUAUAAUUUCGUUUUCUCUCUUAGAGGAUUUGAUAGUGAGAAAGUCAUACAGUUUAGAUGUAUAUAUAUUCUAGUAAUGUGUUCUUUUAUAGUUCUUUCUAAUUGACAGAUUAAUUUUAUGUGAAUACAUGUGGUUAUUUAUUA